GUGUCAGCAGCCGCGGUAAUACCAGCACCCCGAGUGGUCGGGACGUUUAUUGGGCCUAAAGCAUCCGUAGCCGGUUCUACAAGUCUUCCGUUAAAUCCACCUGCUUAACAGAUGGGCUGCGGAAGAUACUAUAGAGCUAGGAGGCGGGAGAGGCAAGCGGUACUCGAUGGGUAGGGGUAAAAUCCGUUGGUCCAUUGAAGACCACCAGUGGCGAAGGCGGCUUGCCAGAACGCGCUCGACGGUGAGGGAUGAAAGCUGGGGGAGCAAACCGGAUUAGAUACCCGGGUAGUCCCAGCUGUAAACGAUGCAGACUCGGUGAUGAAUAAGCUUCGUGCUUAUUCAGUGCCGCAGGGAAGCCGUUAAGUCUGCCGCCUGGGGAGUACGGUCGCAAGACUGAAACUCAAAUGAAUUGGCGGGG
rnacentral:rRNA from 1 species